GUAUCUUAAGUCUCCAAUCCUAGUAACCUUUCCACUACACUGGACUGCCUGCCUUGGACUUCAUGCCAAAGCAAAGUUAUAUAACAGUAUUGAAUGGAAUGUCCCACUGAAGAUUUCUCAGUGCAAUUAAGAUUUGGGAUAAGACUGUUUGAUCAUACGUAUUAGAGUCAGAAGACUUAAGAAUAAGUGGCUCUAAUAUCAUCACACAACUAUAGCUUUGAGAGAAUAUGCACAAAGCCUGUGAGAUGGGAAACCAUCUGGCACAACUGAGCAGAACCCAGCCCCUGCCUAUAUCACCUGUCCCUCUUCAGCUUUCCAGAGCUGCCCUGCUGCUUGCAGUGAAAAUGGAAUCUAUGCUCCUACC